UACGGGGGGGGCAAGCGUUGUUCGGAAUUACUGGGCGUAAAGGGCUCGUAGGCGGCCAACUAAGUCGGAUGUGAAAUCCCCAGGCUUAACCUGGGAACUGCAUCCGAUACUGGAUGGCUUGAAUCCGGGAGAGGGAUGCGGAAUUCCACGUGUAGCGGUGAAAUGCGUAGAGAUGUGGAGGAACACCGAUGGCGAAGGCAGCCUUCUGGGCCAACACUGACGCUCAUGCACGAAAGCGUGGGGAGCAAACAGG
rnacentral:rRNA from 1 species